GGUUCGAUGGUGUAGUUGGUUCAUCACAUCAGUCUAACAUUAGAAACUCGUUCAAGAGUGAACAAUGGGAGCACUGAAGGUCGCCAGUUCGAGCCUGGCUCGAAUCA